rnacentral:hammerhead_ribozyme from 1 species
AUUCAGAUGAAGAAUCCCAAAUAGGUUGAAACACAUGUCCUGAAU